UCGACAGUGUCAAAUUUGAUGUCGAGACCUUGGAAACACGGAUCGAUGAGACCACCUCUCCCUGCUGUGUCAACUAUUGUUUCACCGCCUCUCUCCGACUAGACAAUCACUGCCAGAGUAGUUUGCCACAGCUGAUGAUACUGCCACAUCCAGAGCCAGACCUGUCUGCUAACACUGGAGCCCUGGACAAAGUUUUGAUUACUAUUUAUAAUUGUAGUUUUACACCAUAUUGGUUGUAAUUAUUUUGUGAGGCAUGUACAGAGAUGAAAUAUGUCUUGAUAGUUGUAAUAACAUAAAUGGAAAGUAAUUAUUUUUUUAUUUGAACAAAAUAUAAAAGCAAAGGGUACUUUGUACUGUUAAUUCCUCCUGGGAAUAAAUACAACUAUGGGAAACUA